UGUCACGUGGCCGAGCGGCGUCCUGGGCGCCGAGCUGCGGGCCGUUGGGCAUGGACUCUCGGACCGCCGGGGCCCCGGCGCUGGGGGCGGUGAAGCCGCCGCCGGGUCUGCCGCUGCUGAGCACGCGGGAGGCGCCCCCCGGCCCGGGGGCUGCCUUUGCCCCAGCUGGCCGCUCCGGUCAGGAGAGAGAGACUGAGAAGGCCGUGGAUCGACUAGCCAGUGGAGCACAGAGCUUCCCUCAUGAUAGUCCUGCCCAUGGUGAGGGCACCCAUUGUGAAGAGGAAGGCUUUGCUGUGGAUGACGAGGAUUCCGAUGGGGAACCGAGUCCCUGGGAGCUGUCAGAAGGGGUGUCCGGCUGUCCACGCAGGGAACAGGCUGCUGAUCUUUUUAACGAGGACUGGGACUUGGAGUUGAAAGCAGAUCAGGGGAAUCCGUAUGAUGCUGACGACAUCCAGGGUUGCCUUUCUCAAGAGGUCAGACCCUGGGUGUGCUGUGCCCCGCAAGGAGACAUGAUCUAUGACCCCAGUUGGCACCAUCCACCUCCACUGAUACCCCAUUAUUCCAAGAUGGUCUUUGAAACGGGACAGUUUGAUGAUGCCGAAGACUGAGGGCAUAGCUUUUGCCUGGCAGUCAGGACCAUCUGGCAAAAGGUGCCCAGGCCUUGAGCAUGCAGAGAACCUGAUGGACCCAGAGGGGCCGUGGGACAAAGAGGACCUGUGAAGAUGGAUAUUGGAUGACGUCAUGCACUGCUUGAGGAAGUGAGAACCCCAGAAGGCCCAGAUGGAAGCUCGGUGUCGGAAAUUGGGAUGGUCAGAGAGACGACAGUUUUGCUUCUUGAACCCCCAAGAUGCAGGAGAUGCAGAGUUAACAGAAGCCUAGAUGAGAACGACUUACUGCUGGAGGCAGGGGACCAGACCAUCAGAAGCAGCUGGCUGGACUCUGCAAGGCUCCAGUGCCCUGAGGAAAUCGGAGACUGUCUUCCAGGGGGACGGAAGCACACUCACUGGCUAAGUAAAUAUCUUGGCGCUGCACUGCCCUUGGUUUUCCGGAGUUUGCAUUCUUGGGCCCAGCUUUUCACAGGAUGGUUGGACUAUGGAGAAAGAGGAAAAAACACAAAAAA